GUUGGAUUAAAAUUAAUUUUUGGUGUAGGAGCUAGAAAAUUAGGUCUGUUCGACC
rnacentral:tRNA from 1 species